AUUGAACGCUGGCGGAAUGCUUUACACAUGCAAGUCGAACGGCAGCACGGGGGCAACCCUGGUGGCGAGUGGCGAACGGGUGAGUAAUACAUCGGAACGUGCCCAGUCGUGGGGGAUAACGUAGCGAAAGCUACGCUAAUACCGCAUACGAACUGAGGUUGAAAGCGGGGGAUCGCAAGACCUCGCGCGAUUGGAGCGGCCGAUGGCAGAUUAGGUAGUUGGUGGGGUAAAGGCUCACCAAGCCGACGAUCUGUAGCUGGGCUGAGAGGACGACCAGCCACACUGGGACUGAGACACGGCCCAGACUCCUACGGGAGGCAGCAGUGGGGAAUUGUGGACAAUGGGCGCAAGCCUGAUCCAGCCAUUCCGCGUGCAGGAUGAAGGCCCUCGGGUUGUAAACUGCUUUUGUACGGAACGAAACGGCCUGGGUUAAUACCUCGGGCUAAUGACGGUACCGUAAGAAUAAGCACCGGCUAACUACGUGCCAGCCGCCGCGGUAAGAC
rnacentral:rRNA from 1 species